rnacentral:rRNA from 1 species
UACGUAGGGUGCAAGCGUUUAAUCGGAAUUACUGGGCGUAAAGCGUGCGCAGGCGGUCCGUUAAGACAGAUGUGAAAUCCCCGGGCUUAACCUGGGAACUGCAUUUGUGACUGCAUCGCUGGAGUGCGGCAGAGGGGGAUGGAAUUCCGCGUGUAGCAGUGAAAUGCGUAGAUAUGCGGAGGAACACCGAUGGCGAAGGCAAUCCCCUGGGCCUGCACUGACGCUCAUGCACGAAAGCGUGGGGAGCAAACAGG